rnacentral:rRNA from 1 species
UACGAAGGGAGCUAGCGUUGUUCGGAAUCACUGGGCGUAAAGCGCACGUAGGCGGAUGUGUCAGUCAGGGGUGAAAUCCCGGAGCUCAACUUCGGAACUGCCCUUGAUACAGCACGUCUUGAGUCCGGAAGAGGUGGGUGGAAUUCCUAGUGUAGAGGUGAAAUUCGUAGAUAUUCGCAAGAACACCAGUGGCGAAGGCGGCUCACUGGCCCGAUACUGACGCUGAGGAGCGAAAGCGUGGGGAGCGAACAGG